ACAAGCAACAACCAUUCUCUGCUCUUUCUUUCCCAAAAUCCCGCUAGCCGGUCUCUGCGCAAGCCGCUCCCGAUUCCCUCCACUCCCCCUCGCUCUCCUCUCAUCUCGGCCUCCGUCUCCAUCUUCAUCUUUGUUGGGUUCUCACUAAUUUCGCAAUUCCCAAUUCCUUUUUCAAAUUCCACUUCCACCCAUCCGCCGUCUCAACCCAAAUACGCUCUCCAACCCUGGUUCUUUUUAAGUCUUCCCUCUCCUUGGCGUCCUUUUCUCUCACCCUUCUUCGAUCUUCACUCUCUCUCUCACUCAAUUCUAAAAAUCUCUCUUUUUGCUCGUACUGCACAACUACCGUCCUCGUCGAUCUCCCUUCCGUCGCAAGCCUUUCCCGAAGACAACCGUCAGUAAUAAGGUAUUCAUGUGGGUAAUUUCAAUUGUAUAUUUUUUUCUUCUCUUUCUAAUGCGGGAAUUAAGCUAUAAUAUUCCCUAAUUUCAGGUCUAAUUUGAGUAUGGGAUUGAGUUUUGAGUUAAGUUUUAGGGUUAGGAACUUCGUAAAUUGGGGAUUUCAGGGAAAUCAAUUUUAGGGUUAGGAAUCUGGAAUUUAGGAACUGUUGCUUAUUACUGUUAAGUGAAUUUCUAUUUCAAUGUUUGAACAUGGUUGUCCACAAAGGUAAGUAUGUCAAAUAAUUUUGGGGGUUUAAUGGUGUUAUGUGAUGGAAGGGAUGUUUUGUGAGUUCUAUUUGCUGGUUUUCAUUUAAUUGAGAAUAACUUUGAUAACGAUGGAGAAAUUUUUGUGUCAUAAAGAAUGAUAAUGAAGCAGAUGAACAAGAGAUUGUAAAGAAAUAUUUUUUUUGAAUUUGUAUGAAAUGUUUUGAAUUUGUUAGUAUACCAUAUCGCAACAACCAAUUCUUUUGUCUUACAUUGAUUUGGGAAAUUAUAAUAUCAAGCUUCACGUCCUUGUUUAUCUAGGUACUUGAUCUAUCUUGAACUUGAUAUUUGAAAACAGAUAACCUGUUGCUUGAUAUAAGAAAAUGGUAGCCUAUUGCUUGAUUGUUUUCGUCCAGGUACUUGGAGUUUUACAAAUGCUACUUAAGAUUAUAAUGUUUGUUAAGGACUUUAAUAAAUUCUUGAUUACCUGCUUUUUGUUUGUCAACUAUUGAUCUACUUCUUCCCAUUACUUAACUAGCGUUUUCAUCCGAAAAUUAGAGUGACAGAAAAAGUGGUAUGAGCCCCUUUUGGUAAGUCACCCUCUUUUCUCCCAAAUUUCAAUCGCUUCUCAUAUGGGAUUCCAUUUCUUUCUAUGCAUUCGUCUGAUUGUUAUAGUUGUUAAAGGAAUUCUUAUUGAUAUUACCUUUUCAUGGUAGAUGCAGAACUCAUAUAGUUCUCCCUACACUUAUGGUUUAUUGCUUUUGGGCUGCUCUCUUUGUACAACUCAAGGAAUGCAAUCACGUUAUUUUUUGAAAUAAGAGGAGGUCGCCUUCGACAAACAAAAGGAUAAAAAGAAGGAAAGAGAAGCCCACCAAUCUUCAGCAAUCAUAUUAUGCUACAGAAAAAACGAUGGGAUGUCAUUUCCAAGUUUUGGAUUAGAAACUUUGAUUAGUUAAGGUUCUGUGAAACUGAUGGGAGAACAAUGUUCGUGUCAAAUAGUGCUUGCGAAAAUUUUCCUAACCCUACUGUCUAUUUUCUUCAUUCCCAAAAUCACUUUUAUCAAAAGAUUUCCAUAUUUUUUAAA